rnacentral:rRNA from 1 species
GAUUGAACGCUGGCGGAAUGCUUUACACAUGCAAGUCGAACGGCAGCACGGGAGCUUGCUCCUGGUGGCGAGUGACGAACGGGUGAGUAAUGCGUCGGAACGUACCGAGUAAUGGGGGAUAACGCAGCGAAAGUUGUGCUAAUACCGCAUACGCCCUCCGGGGGAAAGCAGGGGAUCUUCGGACCUUGCGUUAUUCGAGCGGCCGACGUCUGAUUAGCUAGUUGGUGGGGUUAAGGCCUACCAAGGCGACGAUCAGUAGCGGGUCUGAGAGGAUGAUCCGCCACACUGGAACUGAGACACGGUCCAGACUCCUACGGGAGGCAGCAGUGGGGAAUUUUGGACAAUGGGGGCAACCCUGAUCCAGCCAUUCCGCGUGAGUGAAGAAGGCCUUCGGGUUGUAAAGCUCUUUCAGCAGGAACGAAACGGUACGCUCUAACAUAGCGUGCUAAUGACGGUACCUGCAGAAGAAGCACCGGCUAACUACGUGCCAGCAGCCGCGGUAAUACGUAGGGUGCGAGCGUUAAUCGGAAUUACUGGGCGUAAAGCGUGCGCAGGCGGACUGUUAAGCAAGAUGUGAAAUCCCCGGGCUUAACCUGGGAAUGGCAUUUUGAACUGGCAGUCUAGAGUGUGUCAGNNNGGGGUAGAAUUCCACGUGUAGCAGUGAAAUGCGUAGAGAUGUGGAGGAAUACCGAUGGCGAAGGCGGCGUCCUGGACCGGUAUUGACACUGAGGAGCGAAAGCCAGGGGAGCAAACGGGAUUAGAUACCCCGGUAGUCCUGGCCCUAAACGAUGAGUGCUUGGUGUGGCGGGUAUCGAUCCCCGCCGUGCCGGAGCUAACGCGUUAAGCACUCCGCCUGGGGAGUACGGUCGCAAGGCUGAAACUCAAAGGAAUUGACGGGGGCCCGCACAAGCGGUGGAGCAUGUGGUUCAAUUCGACGCAACGCGAAGAACCUUACCCAGGCUUGAACUGCAGUUGACCGACCAUGAAAGUGGUUUUCCGCAAGGACAACUGUAGAGGUGCUGCAUGGCUGUCGUCAGCUCGUGUCGUGAGAUGUUGGGUUAAGUCCCGCAACGAGCGCAACCCUCGUCCUCUGUUGCCAUCACGUUAUGGUGGGCACUCUGAGGAGACUGCCGGUGACAAACCGGAGGAAGGUGGGGAUGACGUCAAGUCAGCAUGGCCUUUAUGUCUGGGGCCACACACGUGCUACAAUGGCCGGUACAAACCGUUGCGAUCCCGCAAGGGGGAGCUAAUCGGAGAAAGCCGGUCUCAGUUCGGAUCGCAGGCUGCAACUCGCCUGCGUGAAGUCGGAAUCGCUAGUAAUCGCGGAUCAGCACGCCGCGGUGAAUACGUUCCCGGGCC